AAAAUGGCAGAACAAAAGAAUUAUGAGGGGAACUGGAAAGUAGGAAAGACGAACCAACACUCAAAAUGAGAAAGAAGGACAUAUAAGGAAAAAGACUACUCAUGAUAAAAAAGACUAAUGGAUUAACAUCUCCAUUGUGUGACAUUUUCUU
ensembl:misc_RNA